UACGUAGGGUCCGAGCGUUGUCCGGAAUUACUGGGCGUAAAGAGCUCGUAGGUGGUUUGUCGCGUUGUUCGUGAAAACUCACAGCUUAACUGUGGGCGUGCGGGCGAUACGGGCAGACUUGAGUACUGCAGGGGGAGACUGGAAUUCCUGGUGUAGCGGUGGAAUGCGCAGAUAUCAGGAGGAACACCGGUGGGCGAAGGCGGGGUCUCUGGGCCGAUACUGACGGCUGGAGGGAGCGAAAAGCGUGGGGGAGCGAACAGG
rnacentral:rRNA from 1 species